rnacentral:rRNA from 1 species
UCUCUCCGAAAUAGCUUUAGGGCUAGCCUCAAGUGAUGAUUAUUGGAGGUAGAGCACUGUUUGGACGAGGGGCCCCUCUCGGGUUACCGAAUUCAGACAAACUCCGAAUGCCAAUUAAUUUAACUUGGGAGUCAGAACAUGGGUGAUAAGGUCCGUGUUCGAAAGGGAAACAGCCCAGACCACCAGCUAAGGUCCCAAAAUAUAUGUUAAGUGGAAAAGGA